UAACAUAACCACUUCUGUUUUUCUUUUCAUUUUUUUGAUAACAAGAAUUUCCUCUUUGUUGAUUAAUCAGGCUACAGACAUGCUGUAAACAGUACAGAAGGCAGGUACUAGUGACCAUGAGACCAGGACAAAGUAGCCCUAGCAAAUGUUGCAUCUUUUGCACACAAAUGAGUAGCAAAAAUGGCAGACCGUUUUACAAAGUUUAUAGUGCAGAAACUAAAUAAGCCUGAUAUGACAACCACUUUAUUCUGCAUCCCUAUCAUGUGAAGAGGGGGGAAACACCAGAAACAUGAGGCAUGGUAUCAGGUUACUCAUCUUUUGCUUAUUGGGUCCUUUGCACCAUACAGACUUAGAUAGCAAAGACAUAGUAGAUAGUACUCCCUCCGAUCCAUAUUACUUGUCGCUCAAAUGGAUGUAUCUAGCAUCCAUUUGAGCGACAAGAACUAUGGAUCGGAGGGAGUAC
rnacentral:lncRNA from 1 species